rnacentral:rRNA from 1 species
GCCUGUCCCAGUUCGGACUGGAGUCUGNAACCCGACUCCACGAAGUUGGAUUCGCUAGUAAUCGCGCAUCAGCCAUGGCGCGGUGAAUACGUUCCCGGGCCUUGUACACACCGCCCGUCAAGCCAUGGGAGCCGGGGGCGCCUGAAGUCCGGGACCGCGAGGACCGGCCUAGGGCGAAACUGGUAACUGGGGCUAAGUCGUAACAAGGUAGC